GACCACCCCACUGUUGUGGAGCUCAGUUAUUAAUGAAUGGAUAACAACGAUCCCAAGACGACUCCGCCCAAUAAAAGCCCACUCAUCCCAAGAUAGAAGACCACUAACCCCACAAUAGUUGUGUUUGUUUUAAUACGUGGGUCGAGAUAUAACUUAUGAGAUCACUCCGACUAAGUUUAGAAUAGAAGACCACUCAUUCCACAACCGUUAAUUGUCAGCUUAUUCAGAUUAUCACAGAUACCCGAUGCACUUAUUUUUGAACUUGGCAACUUCCGUUACAUUACUAAAAUGGCUUCAAAGAUAAAAGAUUUAAAAGGACCAUUUGAGAUAGUAUCCCUGGUUGGAACACUGUCAGGUGGAGAAGGUGGCCAUUUACAUAUAUCACUCAGUGAUACUGAAGGAAACGUUAUUGGAGGCCAUGUUAUUGGCAAUUUA